rnacentral:rRNA from 1 species
ACGCUGGCGGCGUGCCUCAUACAUGCAAGUCGAGCGGUCUGGCUUCGGCCAGAUAGCGGCGGACGGGUGAGUAACACGUGGGUAACCUGCCCUAAAGACCGGGAUAACAUCCUGAAAGGGAUGCUAAUACCGGGUAUGGUCUUCCAGUCGCAUGGCAGGAAGAAGAGAGGAGCAAUCCGCUUUAGGAUGGGCCCGCGUCCCAUUAGCUAGUUGGUGAGGUAACAGCUCACCAAGGCGACGAUGGGUAGCCGACCUGAGAGGGUGACCGGCCACACUGGGACUGAGACACGGCCCAGACUCCUACGGGAGGCAGCAGUCGGGAAUAUUGGGCAAUUGGGGGGAAACCCUGACCCAGCAACGCCGCGUGAGUGACGAAGGCCUUCGGGUCGUAAAGCUCUGUCCUUGGGGACGAACGAUGACGGUACCCAAGAAGAAAGCCACGGCUAACUACGUGCCAGCCGCAGC